rnacentral:rRNA from 1 species
AUAUAAUAACAUAGUGUAUUUUAUUUAUUUUAAUUUAAUAAGUCAAAGCAUUUAUAAAAUAAGUAAAGGAGAUUAAAAAUUAUUUUAUAAUACACUUUUAUUUAGUACUGUGAAGGAAAGGCAAUUAGUUACUAAAAAGAAAAAAUUAAAAUUUGUACCUUUUGCAUCAUGGCUUAGCUAGAUUAAAUUUUUAAGAAAAUGUCUCGAAAUCUAAUGGGCUAUUUUUAGUCAAUCUAUUAGGAAAGGAAACUAAUUGUGGCAAAAAUUUUUCUAGAACUAAAAAUAGAAAUGAAAUUUUAUUCGUAUUAGAUGAUAGCUAGUUCUUUUUUAAAGGCAUAUAAGUGCUCUAAACUAUUUUUAUUUCAUAAAUUUUAUAUGAAUAUAAAUAUAAUAGUUUAAUUAGGCUUUCGAGGAUAAGCUCGAAAGCGUAAAUAAAAUAUUUUAUACUAAAAUUAAAUUUAAGCUUGAAAAUAGCUAUUAUUUUCGGAUUUUGUUAUAAUUCCAUUAUAAUUCUAUGUAUAUAAUAAAUUUAUUUGAUUUUGAAAGAAGAAAACCUUAAAACAUAAGUUAGGAUAAAAUUAUGCUAAGAUGAGUAUUUAUAAGUUAUUAGUUUUAGAAAUACAAGAUAAAAAUCUUAAAAACAAAUUUUCGAUAUAAAAUUAUAAAAAGGAACUCGGCAAAUAAUCAUUCUGCCUGUUUAUCAAAAACAUGGCUCCUUGUAUUAUAAAGAUAGGGAGUCGGACCUGCCCAGUGAAAUUUUUUAACGGCCGCGGUACUCUGACCGUGCAAAGGUAGCAUAAUCAUUUGCCUUAUAAUUGAAGGCUUGUAUGAAUGGUUUGACGAGAAUGAAGCUGUCUCUUUAUAAUUAAUUUGAAUUUUAUCUAUAGGUGAAGAAGCCUAUAUUAUAUUGAAAGACAAGAAGACCCUAUCGAGCUUUAAAGAAAUUAAUAAACUUAAAAAUUGAUAUUAAAAAUAUAAAUUUCAUUAUUAAAUUAUUUUAGUUGGGGCGACUGAGGAACAAACAAAGCUUCCUAUAUAAAUAUUAAUACAUUCAAGUACUGAUCCAAAAGCUUUGAUUAAAGAAAUUAGUUACCGUAGGGAUAACAGCAUUAUCUUUUUUGAGAGCUCUAAUCGAAAAAAAGGUUUGUGACCUCGAUGUUGGACCAGAAUAUCCUAAAGAUGCAGCCGUCUUUAAGGGUUGGUCUGUUCGACCAUUAAAAUUCUACGUGAUCUGAGUUCAGACCGGCGUGAGCCAGGUCAGUUUCUAUCUUCAAUUUUCUAUAGUGAGCUUAGUACGAAAGGACCAACUUACUGUAAAAUAUUUACUCUAUUUGAUAAAAUAUAAAGUAUUAUUAAGUUAAUAAUAAAACAUUAAAA